CCUACGGGGGGCAGCAGUGGGGAAUAUUGGACAAUGGGCGCAAGCCUGAUCCAGCCAUACCGCGUGGGUGAAGAAGGCCUUCGGGUUGUAAAGCCCUUUUGUUGGGAAAGAAAUCCAGCUGGUUAAUACCCGGUUGGGAUGACGGUACCCAAAGAAUAAGCACCGGCUAACUUCGUGCCAGCAGCCGCGGUAAUACGAAGGGUGCAAGCGUUACUCGGAAUUACUGGGCGUAAAGCGUGCGUAGGUGGUCGUUUAAGUCCGUUGUGAAAGCCCUGGGCUCAACCUGGGAACUGCAGUGGAUACUGGGCGACUAGAAUGUGGUAGAGGGUAGCGGAAUUCCUGGUGUAGCAGUGAAAUGCGUAGAGAUCAGGAGGAACAUCCAUGGCGAAGGCAGCUACCUGGACCAACAUUGACACUGAGGCACGAAAGCGUGGGGAGCAAACAGGAUUAGAUACCCCGGUAGUC
rnacentral:rRNA from 1 species